AGUGAACGCUGGCGGUAGGCCUAACACAUGCAAGUCGAACGGCAGCACAGUAAGAGCUUGCUCUUACGGGUGGCGAGUGGCGGACGGGUGAGGAAUACAUCGGAAUCUACUUUUUAGUGGGGGAUAACGUAGGGAAACUUACGCUAAUACCGCAUACGACCUACGGGUGAAGGCAGGGGAUCUUCGGACCUUGCGCGAUUGAAUGAGCCGAUGUCGGAUUAGCUAGUUGGCGGGGUAAAGGCCCACCAAGGCGACGAUCCGUAGCUGGUCUGAGAGGAUGAUCAGCCACACUGGAACUGAGACACGGUCCAGACUCCUACGGGAGGCAGCAGUGGGGAAUAUUGGACAAUGGGCGCAAGCCUGAUCCAGCCAUACCGCGUGGGUGAAGAAGGCCUUCGGGUUGUAAAGCCCUUUUGUUGGGAAAGAAAAGCAGCAGGUUAAUACCCCGCUGUUCUGACGGUACCCAAAGAAUAAGCACCGGCUAACUUCGUG
rnacentral:rRNA from 1 species